CCUACGGGCGGCAGCAGUGGGGAAUAUUGGGCAAUGGGCGCAAGCCUGACCCAGCAACGCCGCGUGAAGGAAGAAGGCUUUCGGGUUGGAAACUUCUUUUCUCAGGGACGAAACAAGUGACGGUACCUGAGGAAUAAGCCACGGCUAACUACGUGCCAGCAGCCGCGGUAAUACGGAGGUGGCAAGCGUUAUCCGGAUUUACUGGGGGUAAAGGGCGUGUAGGCGGGAAAGUAAGUCAGAUGGGAAAACCAGGGGCUCAACCCGUGGCCUGCAUUUGAAACUGUCUUUCUUGAGUACUGGAGAGGCAGACGGAAUUCCUAGUGUAGCGGUGAAAUGCGUAGAUAUUAGGAGGAACACCAGUGGCGAAGGCGGUCUGCUGGACAGCAACUGACGCUGAGGCGCGAAAGCGUGGGGAGCAAACAGGAUUAGAUACCCGAGUAGUC
rnacentral:rRNA from 1 species